AUCCAGUUGACGAGUCCCAAAUAGGACGAAGUGGUUUGUGUCCUGGAU
rnacentral:hammerhead_ribozyme from 1 species